UACGGAGGGGGCGAGCGUUAUUCGGAAUUAUUGGGCGUAAAGGGCGCGUAGGCGGCGAUUCAAGUGACGGGUGAAAUCCCUCGGCUUAACCGAGGAACUGCCUGUCAGACUGGAUUGCUUGAGGCCGGGAGAGGCGAGUGGAAUUCCCAGUGUAGCGGUGAAAUGCGUAGAUAUUGGGAGGAACACCAGUGGCGAAGGCGGCUCACUGGCUCGGUACUGACGCUGAGGCGCGAAAGCGUGGGGAGCAAACAGG
rnacentral:rRNA from 1 species